rnacentral:lncRNA from 1 species
AACUGUCUGACUGAUAUGAGGGUGUUUUUAUGUAUAGAAAGUAAGAUGUGGUUACAUAUCACAUUACAUCAUAUUAAUCGUAUGUUAUAACCUCUCUUCUCUUCUCUCUUACAGCUGUAAUCACCCAAGUCACUCAGCAGAAUCCAACAGAUCCUCCAAAAAAUGAGACAACAGCACGAACCAUAACUACAUUUACUACAUCUGUGAUUCCCACAUCCACAGGGGUUUUAAUCACUGAUUCUACAGGGACCAGGAAGAGAGAAAAAUCACCCGCAACAGGACUACUGUUAGUCACAGCAGUGUCAGUCACUGGUAUCAGUGUCUUUCUGGGUGGAGUGAUGAUUAUCGUGCUCUGCAGUUUUAUCAGUAAGUUCAUCAGCUUGUGAUGUACGCUGCUUUCAUACAGUAAAGAACAACAGAUCUUAUCAGCUUGCUUUGUCUAGUUUCACUGUAAACCUAUUGUGUGAAAAUAAUUGUGCAGUAUUUAGUAAACAUUAAUGUGAAUGUGUUUUAUUAUAGAGAAGCAGCAGAGCAGAAAAAGGUUGGAAACUUUUAGUUAAAUUAUGCAUGGUUAUAAUAUAGUCAUCUAAAUGAAUAAGGUCUGCAAUUAAAUGUGCCUUUUUUUAAGAAAAUGUUAAUUGUAUGUAUUUACCCUAACAGAUUUAAGGUCAACUCAAAAACUGGAGACCAAGGUAUGUUAAAUAUUUGAACACAGUACUGAUAAAAAUACAAAACUAUGUUAAUUUACAGUGAGUAAAGAUCAACUGAAACUGUUAUAUAUUUUUAGUAUGGAUGGCAGCCAUGGUCAGUGCUCCGGAAGUGAGUCCAAUUUCUGUCAUAAGAAAAAUAAAAUAAUAAAUAUAACCGUCGAAUUUUGAGUUUAAAUGUUACAUUUGUUAACAUUUCUGACAAUUUUACAAACGUUUUUUUCUGUUCAGUCCAGUGCAGAAGCUCCUGGAACAUAUUCAGUGAUUUCUCCAGCAGACACAUCUUUCCAGCCAUCAGGAAAUACAACACCCAUUAAGAAUUGUGAUAAUUUUGAUCCACAGGCUGAGACAUACUCCGAGAUCACCCCAAUAGCAGCUCCACCUGAACGCUCAGGUUCCAGCAAAGCAAAAGAAAACUCAGGAUGUUCUGAGAGUGAUGUUUAUCACAUGUACUGCACCAUCCCUGACCUGCAUGUGACCCCCAUUCAGAAUGAUGCCGUCUACAGCCUGUUGCAGAAGCACUGAUCUAAUGUCUAAUGCAUUUCACACUAUUUAAACAAAUUCUUGUUAUAUAGUUAAUUCUUUGUGAAAUUAAUAUUGAAUAUACUAAUGUUCAUGUUAUUGUGCACUUGAUUCCUUUCACUUGUUUUUAAAUGCCUGUAAUACUGGGUUUUACCAUUAGAAAAAAAAUGUGUUUAUUACUGUUGUUAGUACUGUUAUUUAUGAUCUUUAUUGUACAAUGUUACCAUCAACCCUUACAUAACUUUUGCAUGAGUUUAAUAUAAUGUAAUAUAUAAAUACAAUACUGUUAUAUUGUAUGUAUCAUCUGGAAUAAAUCAUCUUACUUUCUGUGACUAAUAGUGGUU